UUCCAGACUCCUACGGGAGGCAGCAGUGGGGAAUAUUGCACAAUGGGGGAAACCCUGAUGCAGCAACGCCGCGUGGGUGAAGGAGCGUUUCGGCGCGUAAAGCCCUGUCAGCGGGGAAGAAGAAAGACGGUACCCGACCAAGAAGCCCCGGCUAACUACGUGCCAGCAGCCGCGGUAAUACGUAGGGGGCGAGCGUUAUCCGGAAUUACUGGGUGUAAAGGGAGCGUAGACGGCGAGGUAAGCCUGAAGUGGAAGCCCGCGGCCCAACCGCGGAACUGCUUUGGAAACUGUGUUGCUGGAGUGCUGGAGAGGCAAGCGGAAUUCCUAGUGUAGCGGUGAAAUGCGUAGAUAUUAGGAAGAACACCAGUGGCGAAGGCGGCUUGCUGGACAGUAACUGACGUUGAGGCUCGAAAGCGUGGGGAGCAAACAGGAUUAGAUACCCCGGUAC
rnacentral:rRNA from 1 species